UACGGGAGGCAGCAGUGGGGAAUAUUGCACAAUGGGCGAAAGCCUGAUGCAGCUAUGCCGCGUGUAUGAAGAAGGCCUUAGGGUUGUAAAGUACUUUCAUCGGGGAGGAAAAAACAAAACUAAUAAUUUUAUUUCUUGACGUUACCCGAAAAAGAAGCACCGGCUAACUCCGUGCCAGCAGCCGCGGUAAUACGGAGGGUGCUAGCGUUAAUCAGAAUUACUGGGCGUAAAGAGCACGUAGGUGGUUUUUUUAAGUCAGAUGUGAAAUCCCUGGGCUUAACCUAGGAACUGCAUUUUGAAACUGAAAUACUAGAGUAUCGUAGAGGGAGGUAGAAUUCUAGGUGUAGCGGUGAAAUGCGUAGAUAUCUGGAAGAAUACCUGUGGCGAAAGCGGCCUCCUAAACGAAUACUGACACUGAGGUGCGAAAGCGUGGGGAGCAAACAGGGAUUAGAUACC
rnacentral:rRNA from 1 species